ensembl:lncRNA
AAAGCAAUCACAAGGCUUUUAAUGGGAUUUUAUUUAAUUGAGAGAUUUUUGUAAACAAAGCCGGUCCCGGAUAACACACAAACUGUAAUGAACAGCAAUAUUUCACACUUUAUUAAUAUACCAUAACCUGAUCUACACAUUGUGCAUGAACUACAGCUUGCGUGAGGAUUGAAGAGUUUGAAUUUGGGUGUUUGAGAAGGGUGUAUGGUGUGCUAGUUUAAGGGUGUGUUGUUUAAAGUAUUUCUUCAGCAUAAUGAUUAGACAACAAAGACGCGAACACACUAGUAUCAGUUGAUCUUGAAUGUCUGGCUGUGCGGGUCAGGUGUGUUAUUUGAAGCCGCACAUUUACAGGUGUGUCACAUAUCAGAAACCCAGACAGUGAGACUAGACGUAGAGUACCGCACAAAAAUUUUUGUCAUUGUAGAGCAAAGAUGCCUUGAAAAUAAUGAAAUGGAAUGUUUCUACAUUUAAAAAAAAAUACCAUAAAGAGCAAUAAAUUAUAGUAAAUGAAACAAAGUCAAUAUCUAGUGACAAAAAAAAGAAAUAAAAAUAAAAAUAGUAGUCUCCGGUAUAAUUAGUGCAGUUUUAUAAGGAAAUGAGCUACUGGCUUACUGAGCAUCUCGCAGAACCUUCUGGAGACUUUGACUGUUGCACGCACUUCUUGUUUUUGCAGCGAAACCCAGCAGCGUUCGUCAUGGUUUUUUUGCCUGAAAAGUCAUCUGUUACCUCUUAAUACGCUGCUUUCUUUAACAACUGUAAGAUUUACUUUUUUCUGUAACAUUUACUUUUGUGCCAGAAAACGAAUGUUUGGGAAUCUAAAACGUUUUUUUUUUUGUACCAACUCCAUAAUGUAGACGUCAUAAAAUGAAAAAAAAACAAGCAAACAAAGUUUGUACAAAAAACAACAACAAAUAGGGUGCCUAAAACUUUUGCACAGUACUGUAGUCAUUAUAAAUGGGGCCAUCUUAAUAAUGUGACACAACAACAACAACAAACCCACAUAUGACAAUGUAUAAAUAUGCUGAUAUGGAAAUCUUUUAUAGUUAGGUAUUUUAGCAGUUUAGAUCAUUACAAAAUCGGCAUGAGUGCUUUUAGACAACAUUGUAGGUCAAAUGUAAAAAAGAAAGAAAUACACCGUUAAGGCUGCUUUCACUCGUGUGUAUUUUCCCAGCUGUCAGCUCACACAGUGACUAUAAAAAAGUCUACACACCUGUUAAAAUAGUUUAAAUGAUAUUUAAAAAACAACAAAAUAAAAUCAAGUCAUGUUAGAUAUUUGUUUACCUUUAGUAUGAUAUCAACCAACAAAAGUGAAAAACAUAUAGAAAGGUUUUAGGGGUGGAAACUUACAUUCACCUAGGUGUAUAAAGUAUCUCAAAUAAAAAUGAUGAGCAUGAAAUUACUGAAAUUACAAUUAUUUAAUAAUUAAAAUGAUCAUAUAAAGUAGAUUUUAUUCAAAACAUUUGCGCCCUCGUUAUUAUAAAUUUUUAUAUUUAAAAGUCUGACGUCUAUGGAAGUGCAAAUGAAUUUCUCGUAUUGACUGUAAAAAAAAAAAUAAAUAAAUAAAUAAAAGGGUGAUGUUUAUACUGUAUAUGACAGAUGUGUUCCAUGUUCAGCCAAUUAACAAUAGCUUCAUAAAUGUAUAAACACACAUGCACAGAUCAGAUACUGUAACACACAUUUAUAGGCUCUGGGGAUUUUAUAUUAAAAUGAACAUGGCAGGUCUACUGCUGAUGGGGAGGUAUACAGUGUAGUUGCAAUACCCAGUUCAGUUCCUGUGGAAUUGAAGUGGAGAAACUUUAUUAAAAAGGCCGCCAUAUUAAGAGCAAAUCUUACAUGAGGAAUUAAGUGAAAAAUGGCGAUAGAAAAGGGGUUUGUGACAGACUGUAGACGUACAAUUGACCUACAAGUUUCAUGUCUGAUGAGUUUUCCUUUCUAAAACAUUGCGUUAUGAAAUUGAUUAAACGUUUAGACUGCUUUGACCUGGCUCAGACUACACACACACUGUAAACACAACGCUCUUGCCCAUCAUACCUACCGUCGGCUAACAAACUAGCCUAGCUUGCUCUCUAAAUGAAAUUAAUCUGGUCAUGAGGACAUUGUUGGCUUUCACCACAUCUUUGGCGGCAGAUGAAAAGUGAGGCGUCACAUCAUGUCCCGGUCCCCAAAAAAAAAUCCAUGAGUGGAUAUUUUUGAUUAUAUUGUAAUGCUCAUUUUUACUUGGCACUUUGCUUGGUCCAAUACGUUUGUUUUCUCUCCGACCUGCGACCUGAUUGACUGAAAGUUAACAAAGCACUCGACGGCUGUUCUGAAAAGGAGGAUUAUUUGAUUAUAUCCGUCCUGGAGGAUUAUUAGUAAAACAUUCGCUGACAGAUGAGGAAAAUAAAGAAAUACUCAAAGUAUGAACGCAGCCUUGAACUUAUUAUUUACUUUAUAAACGUUACAUUAGUCAGUAAUUACUGUUAAACUAAUAAGAAAGGUGUGUGGGUUCAAGAGUGAGGAAUGUGAGUCUGGAGCAAGUACGAUGUACAAUAUAUGGCCAAAGGUUUGUGGACACCUGACUAUCACACUCAGAUUUAUUCCGAUUUAUUGGAAUGUUGUAAUAGAAGCUAUAAUUUAAUGUGAAUAAGUACAAUGUAACUGAAAUCUCACCGUUGGUGGUUCCGUUCAUGAGGUAGAUCCUGUACACAGUGUUAGAAGCUCUGGUGCUUAAAGUGGCGCUGGUGUUGAAGACACACUGAAUGAGGUUUUGUGUUACAACACCUUGAUAGCUGUUUACGGUGGUCUGAGAAAAGAGGAAAAAGGACAAACUAGCACGCAUUCCAACCUUCUACUUUUAAUGAUUUAAUACACCACAUUUACACCACUUACCACAUUUGCAGCAGUCAGAACUGAGCCGUUUUUAGUAGCCGUUUGAAAGAAGAAACUGCUGUUGUUAGUGUUGUUGGCGCACACAAACACAAAGGUAGAAUUCUAAAAAAGAAAUAUGUAUAUAUAUAAAUAUAUAUAAAAGACACAAACUGCAGUGAAAACACACUUCAGAAUAUUGUAUUUACAUUAAUAACUACAUUAUUUAUUCUUAACCUGGGUAGUGAGUCCCAGCGCCACAUAUCCUGAUGUCGUGCCACUAAGUUCAUAGUAGAUACUUUGGUUGUUCACUUGAAAUGAGCUGAAAAAGCAGCUGGAGUCUCCUGCUGGAUCGCAAGUAGACGCAUUUGACAAGCACAGCUUAGUGGCGCCACAACCGUUACGAGUGAUGUUGAGCUGAAGAUUAACAGAGAAAGUAAAUUAACAUUAUUCAUUCUGUCCUGUUGAUCCAGGCCUUAUCAGCACUGUUUAUACUGAUCAUCACAGAGAUAGAAAAAAAUUAUAUUGGUUCAUUUAAAAAAACUAAUAUUAAUGUAAAUGAGACAGGAGGGACGUUAACAGGAGGGUCAGGAGCAGUGAUGAUGAUUGUGAAUAAUAAACUCCAUUACCAGUGGUGUUGUGCUGUUGCUUGGAAUAUUGCUCUUGGGAUUUGCCAAGUCGAAAGGUCCGGUGGUAAUUAAUGUAGUUGCAUUUUCCAGUUCAGUUCCUGUAGGAUUAGAACAGAGUAUCAUUACUGAACCAUACUGCUGGUGGAAUCCCUGCCACCGUCUCACCCGUGCAUUACAUUAUCAGCUUCAGUUCUGAUGAGCAUUAGAUAAUUAAUUGAGUCAAAAAGCUUCCAUCCAUUGAUUUUCUGUACCGCUUAUCACAGGGAGCCUGAAGCCUAUCCCAGAGAGGAAAACAUUGUAUUGAAAGUUUGUUUUUGUUUUUUUCUCCAUCCGAUUAAUCGAUUAUGAAAAUAAUUGUUAGUUGCAGCCCUAACAUUAAG